GGAGGAAUGUAUAUCGACUCUGUCGAAUAAAGUUCUAGUUAAGUUAUGAUAAUGACAUUUCUUAACUAUGUGUCUUGACCAAAUCACGUGCCAGCAGUCGCGGUAAUACGUGGAAGACUAGUGUUAUUCAUCUUUAACAGGUUUAAAGGGUACCUAGACGGUAAAUCAAGCCCCAAAAGGGGACUAAUUUACUAGAGUUUAAUAAGAGAGGGGGAGUACUGAUGAGUGGAGCGAUUAAAUUUUAUGAUACCAUUAGGAACAGACAAAGGCGAAAGCGACCUUUUACAUAAAACUGACGUUGAGGGACGAAGGCUUUAGUAGUGAACAGGAUUAGAUACCCAGGUAAUUAAAGCAGACAAUGAUGAAUGUCAUAGAUUAGUACUUUUUUUUUUGCUUGUAUUGAUAAAGCUUGUAUUGAUAAAAAUCAUAAAAAUCAAAAAAGUGUACUAUUAAUCUAUAAAUGAAAGUGUAAGCAUUCCACCUCAAGAGUAAUGUGGCAACGCAGAAACUGAAAUCAUUAGACCGUUUCUGAAACCAGUAGUGAAGUAUGUUGUUUAAUUAGAUAAUCCGCAAAAGACCUCACCACAAUUUGUAUAUUAUUAUUUUAUAAUAAUACAAGCGUUGCACGGCUGUCUUCAGUUAAUGUCGUGAGAUUAGGUUAGUUCCAUUAAAUUAACGUAAACCCUUGCUUUAUUUAUAUUAUAAAGUAGAUCCCCGCUAUAUUGGAUGUGAUAAUAGGGACUAAGACAAGUCAUCAUGGCCUGAAUAUUGUGGGCGAUAGACGUGCCACAUAAUCGGAGACAAAGGGAUGCAAAAUUGUGAAAUAAAGCUAAUCCCCUARAAUCCGUAUACAGAU
rnacentral:rRNA from 1 species